UUUUAGGUGCUGCAGGCUGGAAAUCAAAGCAGAUUUUGCAAGAGGUGAUAGUAGUUACUUGACUUGUUGCUGUUCUUUCAGUGUCACUGUAACCAGGCACACAAACAUCGAGGAACAGCCUUCAAGACACUGUGGAGGUUCCCUAGACCUCUCUUUGCAAGAGAAGCCGGUGCCUGAAGCUCUGGACCUUCCUGCUUUUCUUCUCAAAGCUGGAUUUCCAGCUUUGCAAGGAGAAUGAGAGACUGGUGUCCGGCGCAGAGAUGACGUGAGCAGAUGAGGUUUACAGAAGAACAUCUCCGUGUAAGCUGUUGUGCCACCGUGGCUGCACUUGAGUGAGUGAGUGAGUGAGGAAGAGCCCCUUUGGGGCAGCGCAGGUGCCUCAUUUCAGAAUGACCAGGGUUACUUUUAUGAGAGCUCUUUGAAGUCAGAUGCAGGGACACGAGGGCGUAUUGAACCGUUUGCAAUGCGGGCGUGAGACAUCUUCGGGUGGCAUUCUGCUUCUGCUCUUCUCAUUCCCUUGAGGAGAAGGUCAAGUGAACAGGCAGGUCUGCAAGGCUAUGGUGUGCCCUGGAGUGUUUUGGGUAUAGAGCAGGAAAACAGCAUGGUUGUGAGCUGAUACUUUCUCCAGAAGAAAAGAAUUUGGAGAAUAUUGAAGAGGAAGAGGGGAAAAGUGACUGCAUGAAAAACUGAGCUGGAUUCUCAUCUAACAGAGGACCUGCAUCUGUUUCUCUGUUGGAUGUAGCAGGAUUUUGUUGGAUGUCUGUUGAAGAUGAAGAAGAAUGAAACCUUGCAUGCUCAGAACUUCCAUACAGAAGAGUCCCCUUUCUGUAUGUGCAAGAGAGCCUCUUAGUAUCAGCUAUGGUGUGAACACCUCCCUGCUGGGAAAAAGGAGUGAAACCGCUGUUUUUAACUAGGACAGUGAAUAGUUUGUGAUAACGCUGCCUGAAGAUCUCCUUUAUCAGGUGUGGAGUUUGGAAGCUACUAAGAUCUGAAGGAAACUUUACACAGUGUAGAAGAUCAGGAUUCAGACUGGAAGGCUAAAGAAUAAACUAUGGAGCCAACAGGACUGUGAAGACUUCUGGCAGCUGUUUCCAGUGGGCUGUAAUAGUUAACAGCUCAAAAGAAAACCUGAGGAUAUAAAAUCAAAAAAGCGGUGUCCUCCAAAAUUCUGCCUUCUGGUGCCUUUCAAGAACUGUUAUGGAGCAGCAGGCCCUGGUUUCUCUAAGCAAAGGAUUUGAGCAGCUGAAAAAGGCAAGCAACUUCUGUUAAAGUCAAACAAAACACUUGUGCUUUCACCCAGACAGUGCCAACCAAAGUCACUCCUCCCUAAGCUGUGCUUCUACAGGGCAACCGUGGAGGCAGAUGCCAUGAUCUGCUGUGGCAGGAGACCUGCUGCUUCAUUCCUUGUGGUUGAAAUGCUUAUACAGAGGCAAAAUAAUUCUUUUACUGAUAAAUGUUUCCUGAGAAGAAACAUUCUUGCAGCAGAAGAGCAUUUUUGCCUGCCAAGCUGUGCUUCACUGUGGUUUUGUUAGACUAGUUGUGCCCCAUGGUGGUGGGAUUGCUCCUUGCCUUU